AGUGAACGCUGGCGGUAGGCCUAACACAUGCAAGUCGAACGGCAGCACAGUAAGAGCUUGCUCUUACGGGUGGCGAGUGGCGGACGGGUGAGGAAUACAUCGGAAUCUACUUUUUCGUGGGGGAUAACGUAGGGAAACUUACGCUAAUACCGCAUACGACCUACGGGUGAAAGCAGGGGAUCUUCGGACCUUGCGCGAUUGAAUGAGCCGAUGUCGGAUUAGCUAGUUGGCGGGGUAAAGGCCCACCAAGGCGACGAUCCGUAGCUGGUCUGAGAGGAUGAUAAGCCACACUGGAACUGAGAAACGGUCCAGACUCCUACGGAAGGCAGCAGUGGGGAAUAUUGGACAAGGGGCGAAAGCCUGAUCAGCCAUACCGCGUGGGUGAAGAAGGCCUUCGGGUUGUAAAGCCCUUUUGUUGGGAAAGAAAAGCAGCAGGUUAAUACCCCGCUGUUCUGACGGUACCCAAAGAAUAAGCACCGGCUAACUUCGUG
rnacentral:rRNA from 1 species